rnacentral:rRNA from 1 species
GAUGAACUCUGGCGGCGUGCUUAACACAUGCAAGUCGAACGAUGAACCUCACUUGUGGGGGGAUUAGUGGCGAACGGGUGAGUAACACGUGAGUAACCUGCCCUUGACUCUGGGAUAAGCCUGGGAAACUGGGUCUAAUACCGGAUAUGACUGACUAUCGCAUGGUGGUUGGUGGAAAGCUUUUGUGGUUUUGGAUGGACUCGCGGCCUAUCAGCUUGUUGGUGGGGUAAUGGCCUACCAAGGCGACGACGGGUAGCCGGCCUGAGAGGGUGACCGGCCACACUGGGACUGAGACACGGCCCAGACUCCUACGGGAGGCAGCAGUGGGGAAUAUUGCACAAUGGGCGGAAGCCUGAUGCAGCGACGCCGCGUGAGGGAUGACGGCCUUCGGGUUGUAAACCUCUUUCAGUAGGGAAGAAGCGUAAGUGACGGUACCUGCAGAAGAAGCGCCGGCUAACUACGUGCCAGCAGCCGCGGUAAUACGUAGGGCGCAAGCGUUAUCCGGAAUUAUUGGGCGUAAAGAGCUCGUAGGCGGUUUGUCGCGUCUGCCGUGAAAGUCCGGGGCUCAACUCCGGAUCUGCGGUGGGUACGGGCAGACUAGAGUGAUGUAGGGGAGACUGGAAUUCCUGGUGUAGCGGUGAAAUGCGCAGAUAUCAGGAGGAACACCGAUGGCGAAGGCAGGUCUCUGGGCAUUAACUGACGCUGAGGAGCGAAAGCAUGGGGAGCGAACAGGAUUAGAUACCCUGGUAGUCCAUGCCGUAAACGUUGGGCACUAGGUGUGGGGGACAUUCCACGUUUUCCGCGCCGUAGCUAACGCAUUAAGUGCCCCGCCUGGGGAGUACGGCCGCAAGGCUAAAACUCAAAGGAAUUGACGGGGGCCCGCACAAGCGGCGGAGCAUGCGGAUUAAUUCGAUGCAACGCGAAGAACCUUACCAAGGCUUGACAUGAACCGGAAACGCCUGGAAACAGGUGCCCCACUUGUGGUCGGUUUACAGGUGGUGCAUGGUUGUCGUCAGCUCGUGUCGUGAGAUGUUGGGUUAAGUCCCGCAACGAGCGCAACCCUCGUUCUAUGUUGCCAGCACGUGAUGGUGGGGACUCAUAGGAGACUGCCGGGGUCAACUCGGAGGAAGGUGGGGACGACGUCAAAUCAUCAUGCCCCUUAUGUCUUGGGCUUCACGCAUGCUACAAUGGCCGGUACAAAGGGUUGCGAUACUGUGAGGUGGAGCUAAUCCCAAAAAGCCGGUCUCAGUUCGGAUUGGGGUCUGCAACUCGACCCCAUGAAGUCGGAGUCGCUAGUAAUCGCAGAUCAGCAACGCUGCGGUGAAUACGUUCCCGGGCCU